rnacentral:rRNA from 1 species
AUGAGAGAGGAGGAGAAGAGUGGGGUGAAGGAGGAGAUGGAGGGAAAGAGGGACAAGGACACGGUGACGGAGUUUCUUGAGGCGGAGGGUGGGAGCUUCUUGGAGAUGUUGGACUUCUGCCUGUCCUAG